rnacentral:lncRNA from 10 species
GCCCUGGCAAUCACUAUUCCAGUCUCUGCUUCUAUGAGUUUGACUAUUUCAGAUUCCACAUGUAGCCUGUACAAGAAACAUGGUGCCAGCAUCUGCUUCUGGUGAGGACUGCAGGAAGCUUCCAAUCAUGGUCCAAAAAAUGCGGAGCCUGCGUGUCACGUGAUAAGAGAUGGAGCGUGAGAAAGAGGCAGGAGGAGAAAGUGACCCCCACCUUUACAAGUGUCUGUAAUUCUCACUAGCAGUAUAUUAGAGGGCAAAAGAUUUGAACAGACACAUCAGAAAAGAAGACAUACAAAUGGCCGCUAAGCACUUGAAAGGAUUCUGAACACCAUUAGUCAUCAGUGAAAUGCAAAUUAAAGCCAUAAUGAAUGGCGCUAUACAUUUUCAGAAUGGCAAGGAUUGAAGACCGAAAAAAAUCAAGCGUUGAGGAGAGUGACAAAUGGGGAGACAGCCGUGGUGCAUGAUCGCCGAAUAAAUACCAUGUGAGGAUACAGCAAGAAGGUGGCCAUCUACAAGCCAAGGAGACAGGCCUCAGAAGAAACCAACCCUUCUUACACCCUGGACUCAGACUUCUAAUCUCCAGAACUUGUUAAUGCACAAGGUCUUGUGUUGAAAAUGUAGAGCCACGAGAUAAAAGCAGCUUGGAUGGCUGACUCAUAUACAAGGACAACUGCCUGAGAGUCACCAGGGCUAUCAAGAAGUUUGCAGAAACAAGAAAUAAACUUUUACUGUUUUAAACUUUUGUGAAUUUUGGGUUUUGUUUAUCACCAAAUAAACCUAGUCUAUUCUGAUUGUUAUAAGUGGUUAAUUUGGGAAGUCAGAUAUAUUUAAAAUUGGCUUACUGCUGUAACAUAUACAGUCCAAAUUACAUAAUGGCUCAAAUGCAAUAGAAGUCUUUUUUUUUUUUGCUCACAUAUCACUUCACUGAGAUUCUGCAUUAAUUGUAAUGAUGAGGGUGAGGGUGUCU